UUGACAUUAAACAAGCAUUCAAUCUUUACAAAAAGCUGAACAUAAGGAAUUAAUCUUUACAAGUUAUCUGUUCAUUCAUCUAAUACCAGCAAUAUUCAAAAAAUAUUUAAUCUUUACAAAGACAAGGAAUACAAGUCAAAUCAUCCAAAUUUACAUAUGGAAUACUAUCUGCUUCACAUAGAACAAAUGUCAAUAUACAUGAUCGCCUCU
rnacentral:lncRNA from 1 species